rnacentral:rRNA from 1 species
GACGUAGGGUGCGAGCGUUGUCCGGAUUUAUUGGGCGUGAAGAGCUCGUAGGCGGCUCGUCGCGUCGACCGUGAAAACCCGCGGCUUAACUGCGGGCUUGCGGUUGAUACGGGCGGGCUAGAGUUCGGUAGGGGAGACUGGAAUUCCUGGUGUAGCGGUGAAAUGCGCAGAUAUCAGGAGGAACACCGGUGGCGAAGGCGGGUCUCUGGGCCGAUACUGACGCUGAGGAGCGAAAGCGUGGGGAGCGAACAGG